rnacentral:misc_RNA from 1 species
GAAAUGCGAUAAGUAGUGUGAAUUGCAGAAUUCAGUGAAUCAUCGAAUCUUUGAACGCACAUUGCGCCCUUUGGUAUUCCAAAGGGCAUGCCUGUUCGAGCGUCAUUUGUACCCUCAAGCUUUGCUUGGUGUUGGGCGUCUUGUCUCCAGUUCGCUGGAGACUCGCCUUAAAGUAAUUGGCAGCCGGCCUACUGGUUUCGGAGCGCAGCACAAGUCGCGCUCUCUUCCAGCCAAGGUCAGCAUCCACAAAGCCUUUUUUCAACUUUUGACCUCGGAUCAGGUAGGGAUAUCCGCUGAACUUAAGC